rnacentral:rRNA from 1 species
UUUUGUCGAACGGGGGUAUUCUUUAUAGCUUGCUAUGAGAAUAAUUAGUGGCAGACGGGUGAGUAAUGCAUAGGAAUCUACCUAGUAGUAUAGGAUAGCCACUAGAAAUGGUGGGUAAUACUGUAUAAUCCCUGCGGGGGAAAGAUUUAUCGCUACAUGAUGAGCCUAUGUUAGAUUAGCUAGUUGGUGGGGUAAUGGCCUACCAAGGCAGUGAUCUAUAGCUGGUCUGAGAGGAUGAUCAGCCACACUGGAACUGAGACACGGUCCAGACUCCUACGGGAGGCAGCAGUGGGGAAUAUUGGACAAUGGGCGCAAGCCUGAUCCAGCUAUGCCGCGUGAGUGAGGAAGGCCUUAGGGUUGUAAAACUCUUUCAGUAGGGAAGAUAAUGAGGGUUACCUAUAAAA